rnacentral:misc_RNA from 1 species
GAGAAUGUAACAAUGGUGGCGAAGUUGGAGGGGAUCCCCGGAGCUCCGUUUAGAGGGAUUUGUAUGUCAAAUGUGACGGCCGUGAAGAACGUGGAGUCGAAGAAGUUGCAGUGGAACUGCACGUAUGUGGAGGGCGUGGCCGGGGGCGUGAGUCCGGCGCCGUGUGAGGCGCUGCCGGUGACGGAUGUGUCAUGUCCGUUUCCUAUUGAUUGGGCUUAAGUUGAAAGCAUUGAUCUCAUGGGUUAAACUGUGAUGAUGUAGGAAAUGUACUGAUCGUGAGC